AUGGACAUGAGGAUCCCAGUGCAGUUCCUCAGCUUCCUGCUGUUCUGGCACCAAGGUGCCAAGGGUGAUAUCCAGAUGACCCAGUCUCCCUCUGUGUCUGCAUCUCUGGGAGAGAAAGGCACCAUCACCUGUAAAGCCAGUCAGGACAUUAGCAGCAAAUUAGACUGGUAUCAGCAGAAAGCAAGGGAAGCUCCUAGAAUACUGAUCUCUGAUUCAUCAAGCUUGCAAUCUGGGGUCCCUUCCCGAUUCAGUGGCAGUGGAUCUGGCACAAAUUUUACUGUUACCAUCAGCAGCCUAAAGGUUGAAGAUACUGCCACUUAUUACUGUCUACAGUAUAACAGCUCCCUAUGGACAUAUGGUGGUGUCCAACUACUCUCUGUGAAAUCCAUCAGCUCUGACAGCAUCCACACUCACUUCCUUGUAGUUUAUCCCUCAGUCUUCUUUAGACAUUUCUCCUUUGUACUAUGGUCUCUGGUCUCUGAGACCUGCUGUAUCUUAGUUACUUCAAGAGAUUUGUGA